rnacentral:rRNA from 1 species
AGCUGGCGUCUUCGGCGUCCGCAUUGUAAUCUCAAGAAGUGUUUUCCGCUUCGGACCAAGCCUAAGUCCCUUGGAAAAGGGCAUCGUAGAGGGUGAAAAUCCCGUACAUGGUUUGGAGCGCCCGGAGCUUUGUGAUACGCUUUCUAAGAGUCGAGUUGUUUGGGAAUGCAGCUCAAAAUGGGUGGUAAAUGCCAUCUAAGGCUAAAUAUUGGGGAGAGACCGAUAGCGAACAAGUACAGUGAUGGAAAGAUGAAAAGAACUUUGAAAAGAGAGUUAAACAGUACGUGAAAUUGCCAAAAGGGAAGGGUAGGAGGUCAGAGAUGCGGUCUGGGAUUCAGCCUUGCUUUUGCUUGGUGUUUUUCCCAGUUUGCAGGCCAACGUCGGUUUUGGGCACUGGAGAAGGGUGGGAGGAACGUGGCACUCUUCGGAGUGUGUUAUAGCCUCCUACUGGAUACAGCGACCGAGACCGAGG